rnacentral:rRNA from 1 species
GACGAACGCUGGCGGCGUGCUUAACACAUGCAAGUCGAACGGAAAGGCCCUGCUUUUGUGGGGUGCUCGAGUGGCGAACGGGUGAGUAACACGUGAGUAACCUGCCCUUGACUUUGGGAUAACUUCAGGAAACUGGGGCUAAUACCGGAUAGGAGCUCCUGCUGCAUGGUGGGGGUUGGAAAGUUUCGGCGGUUGGGGAUGGACUCGCGGCUUAUCAGCUUGUUGGUGGGGUAGUGGCUGACCAAGGCUUUGACGGGUAGCCGGCCUGAGAGGGUGACCGGCCCCAUUGGGCCUGGGAUGCGGCCCAGACUCCUGCGUGCGGCAGCGGUGGGGACUAUUGCGCAAUGGGCGGCGUCAGGGAGCAGCGACUCCGCGUGCGGGAUGACGGCCAUCGGGUAGUAAACAGUUUUCGCGUGUGACGACGCGUGAGUGCCGGUCCUGGGCAAAGAAGCACCGCCUACCUACGU